rnacentral:RNase_P_RNA from 1 species
AGAGGAGACUGGGUGAUCGCUCGGCACCUUUGGGUGCCGGGAGGAAAGUCCGGACUCCAUGGGCGGGGCGCUGGGUAACUCCCAGGCGGAGCAAUCCGACACCUGCACCACAGAAAACAAACCGCCGAUGGCCAAGGCGACGGGAUCCUAUCUAGUCGCUACGGAUCAGGUAAGGGUGAAACGGCGGGGUAAGAGCCCACCGCAGGGAUGGUGACAUCGCUGGCACGGUAAGCGUCGCCCGGUGCAAGGCCAAAUAGGAAGACACGUGUGGCGCUCGCAAGGGCGCGGCACAACGACUGGCCCGGUCGGGGUCUUCGGGUAGGUCGCUUGAGGUUCGGGGUAACUCGAAUCCCAGAGAAAUGAUCACCCAGGCAUGAACUCCGGUUCAUGCGGGACAGAAUCCGGCUUAUAGGUUUCCUCGCUCG